rnacentral:rRNA from 1 species
CAAUAGCGUAUAUUUAAGUUGUUGCAGUUAAAAAGCUCGUAGUUGGAUUUCGGUUGAGAGCGGCCGGUCCGCCGUUUGGUGUGCACUGGCUGGUUUCAACUUCCUGUAGAGGACGUGCUCUGGGUUUAACGACCUGGACUCGGAGUCUACGUGGUUACUUUGAAAAAAUUAGAGUGUUCAAAGCGGGCUUACGCUUGAAUAUUUCAGCAUGGAAUAACACUAUAGGACUCCUGUCCUAUUUCGUUGGUCUCGGGACGGGAGUAAUGAUUAAGAGGAACAGUUGGGGGCAUUCGUAUUUCAUUGUCAGAGGUGAAAUUCUUGGAUUUAUGAAAGACGAACUUCUGCGAAAGCAUUUGCCAAGGAUGUUUUCAUUAA